UACGGAGGGGGCUAGCGUUGUUCGGAAUUACUGGGCGUAAAGCGCACGUAGGCGGCUUUGUAAGUUAGAGGUGAAAGCCCGGGGCUCGAACUCCGGAACUUGCCUUUAAGACUGCAUCGCUAGAAUUGUGGAGAGGUAAGUGGAAUUCCGAGUGUAGAGGUGAAAUUCGUAGAUAUUCGGAAGAACACCAGUGGCGAAGGCGACUUACUGGACAGCAGUUAGUUGACGCUGAGGUGCGAAAGCGUGGGGAGCAAACAGGG
rnacentral:rRNA from 1 species